GCUUUAUUUCAUACGAAUAACAUGUUCCUGUGACCUGUACAUGUGUUAACUUACAAUCUUGGCCAUAACUGGUUGAGACUAUUUUCCCCCUAUAGAAAAUUCGCAUAUUUUUAUGAUAAACUCCAUGUUGAAUCACGUUGCCCUUCUUAAAUCCCCGCUCCUCCAACUCAAUUGAGCUUGUGUCAUGGUAUAUUACCAAAAGUUGUUUCGGCGUUGUUCACAACAUUGA